GGAGAGGUGCCAGAGUGGACGAUUGGGCCUGUCUCGAAAACAGGUGUACCCGUCAGGGUACCGUGGGUUCGAAUCCCACCCUCUCCG
rnacentral:tRNA from 1 species